GUUGUAAUGGAAAGAUGGCACAUGCUCCAACUCAUGUAGAGUACCUGUAGAAAGCAAGUGCUCCAUGGCAAUAUGAAAUGGUACUCUACUAUCUCUUCUUUCACUGCUGUGAAAUGAUGCAUCCUGGGGCUUCAAUCUUGUAAGAAAUGGCUGAAAAGCAGUUCUCAAGACAUAGACCAGCAAGAGAAAACAAACUUAGUUCCACAAAGCUGAUUUACUGCAGUGUUUGUUUGGAUCCAAUGGAUCCUGCGUGAAAAGUGAACCUUUGCCCGAAAGAGGAUGUGAUUUUUCCAUUGAAAACAUCAUGUAAUCCUGGAAAGGCAAUUGCUGACCUCAUUAAAGCAAAUGGGCUUGCUGGCUCCCUAUCACUGGUGUUACAUAGACUUUCUUGAGAAGAGAGACAGAUGAAGACAACAGAAGACUUCACCUAAGGAAUUAGGCUUCAGAACAUAGAUCUCCUCAUUGCUGCCCAGAAUCAGAAGUCAUUCUCAUCCUAAUGUCUGACCAAGUUCAGCAGAGCUGAACACACGAAACAGAGGACUUCAUCACACUCUUUAAGAAUAAAAGAAACCUGA